rnacentral:piRNA from 1 species
UCCAGAAAUGACUUAAAAAUGACCUGCC